UUGAUAAAACAGGAUUGAAACAAGGCACUAAGCCCUGUCCUUGGGUCUGAUUGGGAUCAACACAAACAUAUAGGCUUGAAUUGCAUUAGUUUAGUUCCUUCACAUUGAAUUAUAAAUUGAUACUGCCCUUAACUUUAAAAUGGAUUAUUUCCAAAUAAACAAAAAAAGACACUUCUGGCCUCUUCUGCUAAACCAUCACUGAGGACCCCAUCCUUUGAGUUACUCUUGUCCCUUAUAUCAGGACAUAUUCCACUUUAACCUCAGCCUUAUUUCCUUUUUUUUUUUUUUUAAAUCAAGUAGUGAUACCUCAGCUACCAAGAGCUCAGAGUUCACAUUCAUGCUUGCUGAAGGAGGAGGGAGAUGGGAGAGUUCUACUCCAACCCUCCCCUCAUGUGGGCUGAAGAGUGCAAGUCUCUCCUCUACAGAAAGGGAUUGGGCUGAUGGAAGUAGACCCCCAUCUACAGUCUAAUUGGGCUCCAUCCCGUUAGAUAGGUAAGACUCGAGUGAGACCCUUCCACCAGCAUCCUGAGAGCUUGUUAGAAACGCAGAAGCUCAGGCUCCACUCCAGAUCCACUGAGCCAGAAUCUGCAUCUGACCCAGCUCCCUGGGAAAUUCGUAUGCGUGUUCAAGUUUGAGAAGCACUGCUCUGGCCUGAAGCCCGCACACUAAAAACAUUACUUUGGUCUGUUCCUGGAUUGUACUUUCUGUGGAGGAGGAUGGAGCAUUCAGAAUGCUGCCCAGGACAGUGACCACAAGACACAUGUGACUACUGAGGAUUUGAAGUGUGGCUAGCCAAGUGAAGAUGUACAGAAAAUGUCAAAUACUCUCUGGAUUUAAGAGAUUUAAAUGAAAAAAUGUAAGAUAUAUUUUACUAAUUAAUAAUUUUUGUAUGAAGAGUUAAAAUGACAAUUUUUAAAUACCUUGGUUAAAUAAAAUAUAUCAUUAAAUAAAUUUCAGCUUUUUUUAAAGCUUUCAAAAAUGCC